rnacentral:rRNA from 1 species
UCAGGACGAACGCUGGCGGCAUGCCUAACACAUGCAAGUCGAACGGACGAGGGUAGCAAUACCCGAGUUAGUGGCGAACGGGUGAGUAACACGUGAGCAACCUGCCCUUUACACUGGGAUAGCAGUUGGAAACGACUGAUAAUACCGGAUAAGACCACAUUCCCGCAUGGGAGAGGGGUCAAAGUGCUUUAGCGGUAAAGGAUGGGCUCGCGUCCAAUUAGCUAGUUGGUGAGGUAACGGCCCACCAAGGCGACGAUUGGUAGCCGACUUGAGAGAGUGAUCGGCCACACUGGAACUGAGACACGGUCCAGACUCCUACGGGAGGCAGCAGUGGGGAAUAUUGGGCAAUGGAGGAAACUCUUACCCAAGCAAUGCCGCGUGAGGGAUGGAGGUCCUAUGGAUUGUAAACCUCUUUGAUUAGGGACAAAGAAAGUGAUGGUACCUAAAGAACAAGCCCCGGCUAACUAUGUGCCAGCAGCGGC